AGGCAGAAGAAUGUGUGUACUGGCCCCUGCACAAGCCCAAGUGCUCUGUCUGAUAAGCUAGGAUUUCACCAUGGCCUGAAUUGGACCCACCUGAGCUCAGGACUCUAAUUAGCUGCACUCUGAGACAUGGUGGCCCUCAGAUUGUGUGGCCCCUUUGCGGCCUCUGUUCCUUUACAGUAGAAAUUUUAGCCCAGAGCCUCACACUGAGGGUUGGGACUCACAGUUUUGGGCGGAAAGUUAGUAGCAUGCUGUUACUUCAGGGGCACACAAGACCUUCUCCAAUUGCAGCAGAAACGUGGCUUUUUAAGCUUAGGAUAAAAAUAAGCUUAAGAAUAGCAAACAACAGACACCAUUGUGCAUGUUACUUGGGAAAACAGGCAAGCUUUCCCAAGACAUGACAUAUAAGAUGACAGGGAACUGCUAAAGAUUAUUUUUUUAUAUCAGUUUGCCUAGAGCAUGUGGCCAUCCAUGUGCUGCUCAGCUUUACUGAAGCAAAGUGCAGUUGUGCAAUAGAUUGUCCUGAAGAGGGGGCUGAAGUCUCAGAAGAUGCACAAUGAGCUCCUAAACAAGGAAACCAUACUAAAAACAGCAGAAAAUUUUUUGAUGAAGCCCAGAGCUCUCCGAGGAUGUGGUUCUGCUCGAUGAACGUGCAGAGAGCUACAUCUGCCCUUCUGUGUGUCCUCCUGUUCAGUAAGAAAGUGUGAUUCUUCUGAGAAUGCUGGGUGGUGUCCUGGACUCCAAAGAAAGAACUCUGAGCUGAGUCUUGGAUAGGGACCUAAUGGGAGCUGACUCCAGCUUCUCACUGUGCAUCUGAGCAGACCAUGGCCAGGCCCCUGCGUGCCCCACUGCUCCUGCUGGCUAUCCUGUCCGUGACCCUGGCUGUGACCCUGGCCAUGCCCCUGGCCAAGAACUCCAAAGGGGUGGUCGGCAUCGAGAAAGCAGAUGUCAAUGAUGAGGGCGUGCAGCGGGAGCUGGACUUUGCCACCAGCAAAUACACCGAGGAGAGCAAUGACUCACACUACAGCCGAUUGGGGGAAGCAGUGAGUGGCUUUCGGCAGACCGUUGCUGCGUUGUACCUGGAGAUAAUCCGGACCACAUGAACCAAGUCCCAGCCCUACUUGGACAACUGUCCCAGGCGAGGCCGCAUCUGAAGAGGGAAUAGCUCUGCUAUUUUUAGAUCUACAGUGUUCGCUGGGAGGAUUCAAUGACCUUGGUGAAUUCCAGCUGUCAGAAGGCCUGGGGAUCAGUUCCAGGCUGGGCUGCACCCCCCCCCAUUUCCCCACAUCUCUCACCUCCCUGUAGUGUUCCCUGCCUGGGAUGGAGGCCACACCCUGGUGUAGGUCUCCUCCCCGCAUCAGCCCCGGGAGGGAGGCAGGUAGACAAGGCUUCAGGAGGCCUUUGUUGCCCAGCCAAGUGGCUCUACCUGUUCCUUUCUCCCUACUGCUUCUCAGACUCGCUGGUACACCACGCUCUGCUCCUGCCUCCUUUAAUAAAAGAGUAGCAUUGGC